UACGUAGGGUGCGAGCGUUAAUCGGAAUUACUGGGCGUAAAGCGUGCGCAGGCGGUAAGUUAAGUCUGAUGUGAAAGCCCCGAGCUCAACCUGGGAAUGGCAUUGGAAACUGGCUUGCUGGAGUGUGGCAGAGGGGGGUGGAAUUCCGCGUGUAGCAGUGAAAUGCGUAGAGAUGCGGAGGAACACCGAUGGCGAAGGCAGCCCCCUGGGCCAACACUGACGCUCAGGCACGAAAGCGUGGGGAGCAAACAGG
rnacentral:rRNA from 1 species